UACGGAGGGAGCUAGCGUUAUUCGGAAUUACUGGGCGUAAAGCGCGCGCAGGCGGCCCCGCAGGUCGGUUGUGAAAGCCCCCGGCUCAACCGGGCGGAGGCGAGCGAAACCGCGGGGCUGGAGGCUGGCAGAGGGUGGUGGAAUUCCCGGUGUAGUGGUGAAAUGCGUAGAGAUCGGGAGGAACACCCGCGGCGAAGGCGGCCACCUGGACCAGGCCUGACGCUGAGGCGCGAAGGCCGGGGGAGCGAACGGG
rnacentral:rRNA from 1 species